GCGAUUGUAGUCUAGCCUGGUAGGACACUGCCUUGCCAAGGCAGAAGCCCGGGUUCAAAUCCCGGCAGUCGCACCU
rnacentral:tRNA from 1 species